GUAUUUAAAUAUAUCAAAUGCGGAAGCGAGAUCAAAAUUUCAGUUAACAUCCCUUACACGAAAAACCAGAAACGUACUUAAAAUAUAAAAGAUUAAACUACCUAAGAGAGAAACUCAAAAAUAAAACUAUGAGAAUGACUACAGAGUCUCUAGGUAUCCCCUUCGUCGUCCUCCUGCGGAACGGGCUCGGGAACCAUGUCUUCCUGAUCUGAAAUGGUU
rnacentral:lncRNA from 1 species